rnacentral:SRP_RNA from 1 species
GCUGGGCAUGGUGGUGCACGCCUGUAAUCCCAGCUACUCGGGAGGCUGAGGCAGGAGAAUCGCUUGAACCCAGGAGGCAGAGGGUGCAGUGAGCCAAGAUUGUGCCACUGCACUCCAGCCUGGGCAACAGAGCGAGACUCUGUCUCAA